AUGAACACCAAGUAUGAGCGGUCUAUAACCAUCUAAACCUCUAAAUUUCAUGGCCAUUUAAAUCUCGAGUAAAUAGUAUACAUCGCUUCUUUGAAUUUCCUCAAUUCACCCGGCCGCUCCUCAUCUUAAUUUCUUGCCGUCGAGCGAACUCAAAACUCCCGCCAACUCUCGAUCAAGAUUUCGAUUCCAGUUCCUUCAGAAAUCACGGAUAAUGUGAUUUCUGAAGUUUCGUGACCUUACUCGAUUGGGGGAUCUCGAAUUUUCCAUCUCUUAGCAUGGAUGUGGGCGACCUUAACAAAGUUUGGGAAAUUAAAGCCCUGAAGAAGGCUGGAGAGAAAGAAGCAAAGGAGAUUCUGGAGAGAAUUGCCAAACAAGUCCAACCCAUUAUGCGUAGACAUAAAUGGCGAGUUAAGGUUCUUUCGGAGUUUUGCCCAAAAAAUCCAGCACUUUUAGGGUUAAAUGUGGGACGUGGAAUUCAUGUGAAGUUGAGGCUUCGAAGGCCAAAUAGGGAUGGAGAUUUCUACCCCUUCAAUCAAGUUUUGGAUACAAUGCUACAUGAGCUUUGCCACAAUCUUCAUGGUCCUCACAAUGCCAAUUUCUACAAGCUUUGGGAUGAGCUUAGAAAGGAAUGUGAGGAGUUGAUGGCUAAGGGAAUUAGUGGUACAGCACAGGGAUUUGAUCUCCCGGGAAGGCGUUUGGGUGGUAAUGUGCGCCAACCCCCUCUUUCUUCCCUCCACAAAUCUUCUUUAGCUGCUGCAGAAGGAAGAAGACAUUUGGGAUCUCUACUUCCAUCUGGACCUAAUCGGCUUGGUGGUGAUAGCAACAUCAUGGUUGCGCUAAGUCCUGUACAAGCAGCUGCAAUGGCUGCAGAAAGGAGGCUUCAGGAUGAUAUUUGGUGUGCUUCAUCUCAAGAAAUGCCUGUGGAUGAGGAUUGUUGCCCCGAUUUUCCAUCAGAAGCAGCGCAUUUCUCUCAAGCAGGUAAAUCAGGGCCCUUUAGCAAUUUAAGUAAUGGUAUGGAUGCAUUACGCCAGAAAAGAAGUCGUGAGUCAGAAAGGAGUUCUAACAAGUCUUCCAAUGGUCAUCUGAAACCUGAUUUUGUUGAUUUAUCCAAAGAUGAUGUAAUUCCUGGUUCCUCUGCUGACUAUGGUGCUGAAUCAAAUAAGCGUCAUAAAAUGCCAGAUAGAGUUCUAUUUCCAAAAUCUUCUGCAGAAACUAGCUCAAUAGAUUUGUCCGGUUCAUCCUCUAAUUUGAUGCCAAGUCAUGAUGGAACUAUUCAUCCCGGAGAACUUUCCAUGUGGGAAUGUGGAAAUUGCACCUUGCUGAAUCCACCACUAGCUCCAAUGUGUGAGCUCUGUUUCUCGCAAAAGCCAAAAGAUGCUGAUACCAGAUACAAAUUCUGGUCAUGUAAAUUCUGCACCUUAGAGAACAGUGUGAAGUUGGAGAAAUGCUCAGCAUGUGAUCAAUGGAGAUAUUCUCAUGGCCAACCAGUGUCGACUCUAGGACCAAAUCUCGGCACUUGAUAAGCUUCUGAUAUAUCCUUGUCUCACUUCCUCGUAGUGAAAGUCUUUGCCCAUGGCACCCAACCUUCUGUUGUUAGCUCCACUGCCCCUGCAAUUAUAUUGCCCAAAAACGACUGUCCUGUGUACAUAACAAUUGAAAAAUUAUACAGAUUAGCUUGAUUCAAGAGGUGAAAUUAUACCAGAUUAGCUUGAUUCAAGAGGUGAAAUUAUACCAGAUUAGCUUGAUUCAAGAGGUGGAGGUAUUUUUUAAUAUCUGUGAGUAUCCAGGUCCCCCAUGCUCUUCCCAGGAGUACUUUGCCACUUCCAUUAAUUACACAGCGGACGAAGGAGAACCCAGUGUCGUCGUCUGGCGAGGCCCGAUGAUGGGCUGCUAUUGCUCCAGAGCUCUCUGCUGUGGAAGUUAUGACACAUUGCUGGUUUUUCAAGAGAGAAGAUCAAUAUCAGAUGAAGAGGUUCCAAAGAUUAAAAAAAGAUGGGAUAUAUUGUUAGUUUGAUCUUCUUAGUGCUUAAGAUUUAAUUCGAUCAGUAUAGUUUCAAGAGUGUUAGUUUAGACUUUAGUUAUUGUGACAUGCUUAAGCUUCACAGAUCGUCUUAGCUACUUCAAA